AUGAUUGAAUCUAAAACUAGAGCAACAUUAUUCCUCUGCUGUGAAUGUGCAGUGCAGUGUGUUGUGUGUGUGUUUGUGAAUGUGUUGUGUUUGUCUCCUGCAGCUGGUCCCACAGUGAAGCCCUCAGUGUCUCUGCUGCCGCCCUCUUCUCUGCAGAUCUCUGGAGACUCAGCCGCACUGCUCUGCCUGCUCAGCUCUUACUCUCCACAGGGGGCGCUGGUGAGCUGGACACUGGACGGGUCAGAGGUCACCGAGGGGGUUCUGACCAGCGCAGAGAGCCAGCAGGACGGCCGCUACAGCCGCAGUAGCGUCCUGACCCUCAGCAUAGCACGCUGGGAAGAGGGAGAGCUGUACGUCUGCAGAGUAACACAUGAUGGAGCUCCUCAUGAGGUCUCGUUCCACAAGAGCUCUGAGUGCUGAUGUUUCUCUCCUGAAGAUGAGCCGUAUCUGAGUGUCCUGUGUCAGGCAGGAUUCACAUGAGUCUAGUGCUGCAGCUGUAGUGCUUUACAACUCCAUACUGAAAGAGAGUGUGUGUGUGUGUGUGUGU